ACAGCUUUGACGGCGUCACUCAAGCGCAGCGCGGCCGCAGCGGAAUCCUGCGUUUGUCCUGCGCAGCGCGGCCGCAGGAAGCUGCAGCAGGGGGCGUGUCUUAAAGAGGCAGCAGCGGGUUGAUCAGCUGGGUAUGGCAAGCCGUAAGUGCCAUAAAACCACACGGGACACGGGACACGGGACACGGUGUCUUUGUCCCCGCAGGACGACGAACACAGCUCCAGGUACUGUUACUUCAACAUCUGUAACCCGCAGGACGACGAACACAGCUCCAGGACGACGAACACAGCUCCAGGACGACGAACACAGCUCCAGGACGACGAACACAGCUCCAGGACGACGAACACAGCUCCAGGACGACGAACACAGCUCCAGGACGACGAACACAGCUCCAGGUACUGUUACUUCAACAUCUGUAAUCCGCAGGACGACGAGCACAGCUCCAGGACGACGAGCACAGCUCCAGGACGACGAACACAGCUCCAGGUACUGUUACUUCAACAUCUGUAAUCCAGCCUGCUGGUGUUUUAGUCUCUGCUGUCCAGGAUUUAACGUUAGU
ensembl:lncRNA